GACGAACGCUGGCGGCGUGCUUAACACAUGCAAGUCGAGCGGUAAGGCCCUUUCGGGGGUACACGAGCGGCGAACGGGUGAGUAACACGUGGGUGACCUGCCCUCAGCUCUGGGGUAAGCCCGGGAAACUGGGUCUAAUACCGGAUAUGACUCCACGGUGCAUGUCGUGGGGUGGAAAGCCUUGUGCGGCUGAGGAUGGGCCCGCGGCCUAUCAGCUUGUUGGUGGGGUGAUGGCCUACCAAGGCGACGACGGGUAGCCGGCCUGAGAGGAUGGCCAGCCACACUGGGACUGAGACACGGCCCAGACUCCUACGGGAGGCAGCAGUGGGGAAUCUUGCGCAAUGGGCGAAAGCCUGACGCAGCCAUGCCGCGUGGAUGAUGAAGGUCUUAGGAUUGUAAAAUCCUUUCAGCGGGGACGAUAAUGACGGUACCCGCAGAAGAAGCCCGGCUAACUUCGUGCCAGCAGCCGCCGUAAG
rnacentral:rRNA from 1 species